GUAGGUGGCAAGCGUUGUCCGGAAUUAUUGGGCGUAAAGCGCGCGCAGGCGGUUCUUUAAGUCUGAUGUGAAAGCCCACGGCUCAACCGUGGAGGGUCAUUGGAAGCUGGAGAACUUGAGUACAGAAGAGGAAAGCGGAAUUCCACGUGUAGCGGUGAAAUGCGUAGAGAUGUGGAGGAACACCAGUGGCGAAGGCGGCUUUCUGGUCUGUAACUGACGCUGAGGCGCGAAAGCGUGGGGGAGCAAACAGGAUUAGAUACCCUGGUAGUCCACGCCGUAAACGAUGAGUGCUAAGUGUUAGGGGGUUUCCGCCCCUUAGUGCUGCAGCUAACGCAUUAAGCACUCCGCCUGGGAGUACGGCCGCAAGGCUG
rnacentral:rRNA from 1 species